AGAUCUCGUGAGAAUUCAGUCACUAUCACAAGAACAGGAAGAGGGAAACCACCCCCAUGAUCUAAUCACCUACCACCAGGCCCCUCCUCCAACACUGGGGAUUACAACUGGACAUGAGAUUUGGGCGGGAACACAAAUCCAAAUCGUAUCACCCCCCCAAUUAGAGACUUGGGAUUUGAAUCAACAAAAAAUCCUGCAGUUCACUUUUUAUGUGGAUAGUACAUUGGAGGCAGAUAAUUUUCCCACUUCUGCCUCCUUGUCAGUUCUUUAUUCCUUUGAAUCAGAAUAUAACAGCGUCCAGUAAUGCAGCUAGCCCAUGUGUGAAAUGAAGCAAGAGUGGCAUAGUACACUCUGAGCUGUUCAGUGAAAAACAGGCAUGGACAGCCACAGGAAGGGUGGGGCUUCAGGCCACAUUAAGUAAAAAGCAGACUUAUGCGGUACCUGCUGAGUUUCAUAAAACUGAAUAUUGUCUUUGGAAACAAGCUUCCUCUCUGUAGCUUCAGUGGAAAUGGUCAUAAAUCAUAUAUAAUUAGGAAGAAAAGUAAUCAAACAUCAUUUGGUGUUGUAGCAAUGUAAUAGAAAAAAUGAAAAUUAAAAAUAACAAUGAAUUAGAGAUUUAUCCUACCUCCUAGAGUCUGAUACUAACAUCACCACUGCUGAUAAAAUCCAGAUCUUCACUGGAACACUGGAAGAGCGUGUCUUUGAGGGCUUAAACUUGGUUCAAAAAAGGUCUUGAAACUAAGACCCACCAAAUUGGGAAGGACCAGAAGGGCAAGGCCAAGAGGGAAUACUCCAAGAAAACUCUUCUGGAGACAAAAAGUCCAUAAAGGAAAGUAAGAUAUGUAAUCACCUGCUAGUUUUAUUGUAGGUCCAUUUGGACACAGCCAUUUAGGUAGAGCAAGGCAAAAUAAUUCUUGUGAGGACCUGUCAUCUGUCCCCAGGAUGAGGGAACAUAGGUUAAUAUUGACUCUGAUGUGUUCCUUUCCACGUCGAGAAUUUUAAAGUCUGCAAAUCUGUAGCCCAAAAUUGAUUCCAGGAAGAGGAGGGAGCAGUUGGGCCUUGAAGAAUGCACAAACGUGCCACACAAGAGAGUCAGUAUGUGGAGGCUGCCAGAGAGGACAUAGCAGCCAGUCAUUCUCAGCUGAGUGAGGACCAUGGGGAGCACCAGCUCAGGGUUAAAAGGUUGCUGUGGUUCAAAUGACGGUGUCCUCUCUAAAAUACAUGUUGAAUAAUCCCUAAUGUACUGAGAGCUGCGGCCUUUGGGAGGUGAUUAAGUCAUGAGGACUCUGCCUUCAUGAAUGGGAUUAGCACCCUAAUAAAAGGGGACAAGUUUGAAGAGAGCACUCUCUUGCUCUUUCAUGCCUUCCACUUGUGAGGACACAGCAUUCUUUCCCUUUGGAGGAUUCAGCAACAAGGCACCAUCUUCGAGACAGAGCAACCCUUACCCAACACAGAACCUGCUGGCACCUUGAUCUUGGACUUCCCAGCUUCCAAAACUAUGAGACUAUUAAUAUAUUUCUAUUGCUUGUAGCUUACCCAACCUGUAGAAUUUUGUUGUAGCAGCACAAAGGGUCAAAACCAUAUGUAAGAAAUUUUAACACCUAUCUGUUCUGAAGAACUAAACCAGAAUAAUAAAUACUUUUCAGAAGGAUUUUGACUCAUAAAAGAGUAUUACAGCAAUUUUUUUCUUCUCAUGUCAGAGAGAAAAAAUUAUUAAUAAGAUUAAAUUCAAUAAGAGUUUAGAAGACUUGAAAAUUAAUGGGAGUUAAUGUUUUAUCUUAGUAUUUUAUUUCUUUGCAUUUGUUCAUAGUUUAAAUUCUUUUGAAAUUAUUUUAAUAAAAAGAUGUAAUGAAUUUUUAAAUAUCUGUAGAAUUGUGUGAUACAGUCUGAAACGUUUAGUGUUAUCUGAAAAAAAAUUCUCAUUCCUGGGUUGACAAAUCUCAGCUGUCACAAUGCACCUGAAGGCAGUCAACCCUUAUGUCAACUGAAGUUACCUGGAAAUGUGGAACAGAGAAUAGAGGAGCUUGGCUCAAGACUAAGGGUAGAAGAUGUUCAAGUUGACUUGAUCACUCUUACCUAGAGUCAACUUUAAUCCAAAGUUCUAUUAAUUCAUUCCUGAAUGAAUUCAAGACUUCCUGUGGGAAUAUUCCCACUGAUUUUUUUCUCACUCUUCACCCAAUCUCAAGAUAAGAUGACUUCUAAAAACUACAUGAGUGUGGCCGGGCGCGGUGGCUCUUGCCUGUAAUCCCAGCACUUUGAGAGGCCAAGGCGGAAAAAUCACGAGGUCAGGAGUUUGAGACCAGCCUGGCCAACAUAGUGAAACCCCGUCUCUACUAAAAAUACAAAAAAUUAGCU
rnacentral:lncRNA from 10 species